UUGACCUCGGAUCAGGUAGGGAUACCCGCUGAACUUAAGCAUAUCAAAG
rnacentral:rRNA from 5 species